rnacentral:lncRNA from 1 species
GCUUCUACUGGUGAUAUGGGAAGGGCCCACUCACUGAACUAACUCCCUUCCCUCUACUCCCAGAGCCCGCCCGGCAGGACCACCGAGCAAGGCCUUGGAAAACCAGAGAGAUUAGAGCGAAUGGGGAAAUGGAGAGAGAACCUGAAAGAGCCCCAAACUCGAGGACCUAUUGCUCCCCAAGAAUAACAUCUUCCAGAAGAACUAGACAGAAAACUAGGCGUCUGGGAACUCUGAAAUCCUUGGAGGAGUAGCAUCAUCAUGACCCUCUGUGUUCCUUUUGGCAAAGGACUUGCUCCCAUUGUUUGCUUGUUCCAUUGUCUGUCUGUUAAAUAAAUAAAACCCUUUUCAUAUAUCUUUAAACUUA